UAAUAAGUGUUUUAUGGCACUUUUUAAAUCCAUAUCCACCUUGUGUGCAAUGUCAGUCGAUCUUCUUCAUGGAGAUCGACCAAACAUCAACCCUUAUCCUUUAACUCUUUGUCUGAAAAAUAUUAUGAAUAAACAAUUCAAAAUA
rnacentral:misc_RNA from 1 species